CCUACGGGAGGCAGCAGUGGGGAAUAUUGGACAAUGGGGGGAACCCUGAUCCAGCCAUGCCGCGUGUGUGAAGAAGGCCCGCGGGUUGUAAAGCACUUUCAGUGAGGAAGAACGCCUGGUGGUUAAUACCCAUCAGGAAAGACAUCACUCACAGAAGAAGCACCGGCUAACUCCGUGCCAGCAGCCGCGGUAAUACGGAGGGUGCGAGCGUUAAUCGGAAUUACUGGGCGUAAAGCGCGCGUAGGUGGCUUGAUAAGCCGGUUGUGAAAGCCCCGGGCUCAACCUGGGAACGGCAUCCGGAACUGUCAAGCUAGAGUGCAGGAGAGGAAGGUAGAAUUCCCGGUGUAGCGGUGAAAUGCGUAGAGAUCGGGAGGAAUACCAGUGGCGAAGGCGGCCUUCUGGACUGACACUGACACUGAGGUGCGAAAGCGUGGGUAGCAAACAGGAUUAGAUACCCCUGUAGUC
rnacentral:rRNA from 1 species